rnacentral:rRNA from 1 species
UUAAGCAUAUCAAUAAGCGGAGGAAAAGAAACCAACCGGGAUUGCCUUAGUAACGGCGAGUGAAGCGGCAAAAGCUCAAAUUUGAAAUCUGGUACCUUCGGUGCCCGAGUUGUAAUUUGGAGAGGGCAACUUUGGGGCCGUUCCUUGUCUAUGUUCCUUGGAACAGGACGUCAUAGAGGGUGAGAAUCCCGUGUGGCGAGGAGUGCGGUUCUUUGUAAAGUGCCUUCGAAGAGUCGAGUUGUUUGGGAAUGCAGCUCUAAGUGGGUGGUAAAUUCCAUCUAAAGCUAAAUAUUGGCGAGAGACCGAUAGCGAACAAGUACAGUGAUGGAAAGAUGAAAAGAACUUUGAAAAGAGAGUGAAAAAGUACGUGAAAUUGUUGAAAGGGAAGGGCAUUUGAUCAGACAUGGUGUUUUGUGCCCUCUGCUCCUUGUGGGUAGGGGAAUCUCGCAUUUCACUGGGCCAGCAUCAGUUUUGGUGGCAGGAUAAAUCCAUAGGAAUGUAGCUUGCCUCGGUAAGUAUUAUAGCCUGUGGGAAUACUGCCAGCUGGGACUGAGGACUGCGACGUAAGUCAAGGAUGCUGGCAUAAUGGUUAUAUGCCGCCCGUCUUGAAACACGGACCAAGGAGUCUAACGUCUAUGCGAGUGUUUGGGUGUAAAACCCAUACGCGUAAUGAAAGUGAACGUAGGUUGGGGCCUCGCAAGAGGUGCACAAUCGACCGAUCCUGAUGUCUUCGGAUGGAUUUGAGUAAGAGCAUAGCUGUUGGGACCCGAAAGAUGGUGAACUAUGCCUGAAUAGGGUGAAGCCAGAGGAAACUCUGGUGGAGGCUCGUAGCGGUUCUGACGUGCAAAUCGAUCGUCGAAUUUGGGUAUAGGGGCGAAAGACUAAUCGAACCAUCUAGUAGCUGGUUCUGCGA